rnacentral:lncRNA from 1 species
UGAUGAGACAUGCUAUCUAUGUUUACAGGUCCCUUCACAUUUUUCUUUAGAGUUUUUUAUUUUCAAAUUAAACUGGUUAAGGAGGUGCAGGGUUAUGAUCUUUGUUUCUGAGUAGCUUUUUCAUGGACUUAUUAAAUAUCCUGUACUGAGUGCGCUCAGUAAUUCAAUGAUCCUGCCCUGGUGAAUGCAGUUGGAUACCAGUGUCUAAGAGACCGUGCACAGAGGUAAGUCUGACAGUUUGAUGGCUUGUGUGUGAAAGACACCAGUCAGAGCAGACUGGCAGAUGUGUGGAGUUGUACCUCAGAGACAUAAAUGUGUGAUGAAGUGUGUGGAUUGAUAUGAGUUAAGGCUGCAACGUGUCAGCACUCGUGGAUCCUACCCUCUACUGUCAUAUAUACCCUCCUGUGUUUAGUCUGCUUCAGCUCUUCAGGACACGGGCUAUCUUUGAGGACAAUCUUCUGACACCUGAUUCUUGGAAUAAAGGACUAUCUGACUGCAACACCAUUGAUUAGCGAUGGACUAAGGGGAUCAUCUCUCCUAUGUUUCAACCACAUCAAAAAGAUGCAUAAGGUCACUGAAUAAGGUGGUUGAAAUGAGCUGGGAGAAUAAUAAAUAACUUGUAGGGAGGUGCCUGAGAAGAGCAGGACAGAGUCACCACCAACUGCAUGCAGCUGCUACAGCUCUCACACUCGCCCAGCAGUGUGAACAAAUUGCCUGGAAAUGUCGUCAUCAGGCUUCAACUGGCACUAUCUCCCUUUCUGUCUGGGUCAUUGAUUUCCUCAUCUCCUUUGCCUUAAAACUCACAUCAUACAUCAAUUUCUGAAUCUCCAGCACUGAAGCAGCUGCACUGUGCCUUUCCUGCUCAACACCAGCAGCUUUCAGCCUCUGAAGUGUCCUUUACUGAUGCUCAUCUGAAGACCUCCUGAGUGUGCCUCAAGUGGCCUCCCUGCCUGCUACAUAACAGCCUGUGCUCUGCCAGCUUUUGUUUCAUCACAAGAGGGCUUAGAGCUGUUCUGCUCUCGGAAAUUGGGUAAAAUUUGGUCUCCUUCCUACAAUGACUCAGUGUGCUGGAGAAAUGACUCCUGCCUUGUGCGAGCAGCUAUGGCAGGGCACCGAGCUGUGCCAGCCUCUGCUAGCCACCAGCUACCCUCAGGAGAGCCCCUCAGCCAGCAAGGAGCUGGGGCUGCUCUGCACACGGGUCUUAUGAUUGCUAAAUGUAGAGUCCAUUGAUAAAUAAAGCAAAUGCACAAAGUGUGCAAGAACCAGCAGUUGUUACAGUGUCAUCUUAGCUAACACAGCCUUUUCCUCUGUUCUUUUGCUUUCCUCUUUGUGGCCCUUCAUCAGAGACUUGUGCAAUUU